UUAACAUUUCAUCGUUCCUAUUCAUUCAGACGGGUUACGUAGUAAAACACGGGGUUUAUUAUUUAACCUCCGCCGGGCGCCCUUAGGCGCACGGCGGAAGCAACAGGACAGCGUACACAGGGUGGGUUUAUACAGCUCACGCAGCAGCAUGACUGGAUAUAUUACACGAUAAUGAUCCUUCCGCAGGUUCACCUACGGAAA
rnacentral:misc_RNA from 1 species